rnacentral:rRNA from 1 species
GCCGAACCGUUUAAUGUUGAAAAAUUAUCGGAUGAGUUGUGUUUAGGGGUGAAAGGCCAAUCAAGCCGGGAAAUAGCUGGUUCUCCGCGAAAUCUAUUUAGGUAGAGCGUCGGAUGUUUACCUGUGGGGGUAGAGCACUGGAUGGGCUAGGGGGUCGCGAGAUCUACCAAACCUAACCAAACUCCGAAUACCACAGAGUUAGUCCGGCAGACAGACGGCGGGUGCUAAGGUCCGUCGUCAAAAGGGAAACAGCCCUAACCUACAGCUAAGGUCCCCAAAUCGUAUCUAAGUGGGAAAGCAUGUGGGAUUUCCAAAACAACCAGGAGGUUGGCUUAGAAGCAGCCAUCCUUUAAAGAAAGCGUAACAGCUCACUGGUCUAAAUAAGAGAUCCUGCGGCGAAAAUGUAACGGGGCUCAAGAUACGUACCGAAGCUUAGGGUGUGCAUUUAUGCACGCGGUAGCGGAGCGUUCCGUAAGCCUGUGAAGCGGGAGGGUAACCGACCGUGGAGGUAUCGGAAGUGAGAAUGCUGACAUGAGUAGCGAUAAAGAGGGUGAGAUGCCCUCUCGCCGAAAUCCCAAGGGUUCCUGCUUAAAGCUAAUCUGAGCAGGGUGAGCCGGCCCCUAAGACGAGCCCGAAGGGGGUAGUCGAUGGGAACCACGUUAAUAUUCGUGGGCCUGGUGGUGUGUGACGGAUGGCGUAAGUUGUCAGGCCUUAUUGGAUUGGUCUGGCUUCGAAGUUGUCCCAGGAAAUAGCCCCACCGUAUAGACCGUACCCUAAACCGACACAGGUGGGAUGGUAGAGUAUACCAAGGCGCUUGAGAGAAGUGUACUGAAGGAACUCGGCAAAUUACCUCCGUAACUUCGGGAGAAGGAGGCCCCACAUAUGGGCAACCAUGUGUGGGGGGCACAAGCCAGGGGGUAGCGACUGUUUAGCAAAAACACAGGACUCUGCUAAGUCGGCUUCAAGACGA